GGUUUUGCCACUCUUUUUGAUAUACCUUGAGAGAAAGCUUUACAUGUAGCAGCCAUAUUUAAAUAGUUAUAUAGUUUAUAUUCUGGACACUUAUUCCAUAUUAAUCAGGACCAGAAUAGCUUCAUGUUAUAUUAAUCUGGUGAUGUUUCUAAACAGGAGAUAGACCUUUGUACCAUAUACAUGGGUUGAUUUAUUUAUGUCGUAUGAAUAAAUGAAUAAUUAAACUUGACGAAUCCUUUUAUUCGCCACAAGAACCCUAUUACAUUUGGCGCCCACUAGUAGGUUAGACGUUCGACGACAUAUUUCCUGUUGGAGCCUCACUGAAGGUCAAGAUCUAGGACGUGACAUCCACCGGAAGAUUGGAAAAAUCAGUCGAAAAUAUUGAACACGUUGCUGAAAAUUGUUUAUUGUACAGACUAUUUGCUGUUGUAUACAUUGUUUAUGUAAUGAAAUGGACCAGAAUAGCUUCAUGUUAUAUUAAUCUGGUGAUGUUUCUAAACAGGAGAUAGACCUUUGUACCAUAUACAUGGUAAGAUCAGUGUUACAUGUAUUUUUAGUUUACUGUAUUGUCUGUGUUUGUCUAUUUAAUUUUAGUUCAGUAUAUGUAUUGUUUGUGUCUUGUGAAUAGUAGUUACCUGUAUGUCAAUUAUUACAUGUAAACAUUAUAGUAAGAAAUUGUAGUUCAUUCAUAAAUCUAUGAAUGAGUAGCGUAAUACAAUUGGACAUAUGUAGUAAUUAAUCCUGACUUGGUUUAUAAUUGAGUUUAAUUGAAUUCAUAUAAUUAUAAUAUACACUUAAAUAGUAUUGGUUGUAUUCUUACAGAAAAGAGCUAGUUUAUCGUAUUUUAUACAUGUACUUUCCGUUUUAUGAUUUAG